AGUUGGAUCCCACGUAGCCCAACUCCUUUAAAAACUUUUACUUUUUGAUUGAACAUUCUCUUCACAUCUAAGAAAUAUUUGUGCAUAUAAGUUCUUGCUUGCUACUCUAAGCCAACAAAAUUAUUGCAUUGCAUAGAAGUCGCUAAGAUAUUGGGAAAGUUAAAUAUGGGAAGUUUUGAGAAGCAAGUGAAGGAGAGAACACAAGAGUUGAAGAUCAUUUUCAAGAAGGGAGUAAAAAUUGUGGGAGAUUCUUGCAAGAAGGGUUGGUACAAGAUGAAGAACAUGAGGAGUUGAAAUCUUUUUAUUUUUCCUUAAUAUGAGAGGUUUUGAUUAUGGGAGAGAGGGUUGAUUUUAUGUCACUAGGUAUAUUUUGGUUUAAUUUGCAAGCUUGGUUCUUGAAAAGAUAGAAAUGUAAAGAAUCUUUAAUUUGGUAUUUCUCUAGUGUUUCUAUGGAACAAAUUUGAUUU